ACCAACUAUUUGGAACUCUUUGACCAUCUCACUUCUUGCCACGAGUCGUUGCUAUCCACACGCCCCAACACCGAGAUCCUCUACCUGGGGGACUUCAAUUUACAUCACAGAGAGUGGCUUGGCCCUGCAAGGGGUCAUCACCAUCAAUGAGUCAUCCCUCAAGGUGUAGUACAAGACCUUCCAUUUUUACCUUGUAUAUUUGGUUCAGAUUGUGCCCUGUGAACCUUGCCCUUCCUGUGUUGUUAAGAUUGGUACUUUAACUUUGGUAUGGCAUCACCCAGGGCGUCUUCACCACUCUUAUAACCAAUGGAGAAACUGACUUGUUUUUAUUGGUCUAAAAAAAUACUCUACUUUAAGGUAGAUGAAGGGAAUUUAAAAAUGGCUCUUUUUAAUACAUUGGACCUUUAUUCGUUCAGCCGGAGAAUUGUGAUAGGUGCAGUGGUUAUGGGUGAUGCUGGUGGUUAAGUUAAUGUGAGGUUAAUGUUCUUGUGAGUCUGGUGGUUAAGUUAAUGUGAGGUUAAUGUUCUUGUGAGUGGUGGUUAAGUUAAUGUUCUUGUGAGUCUGGUGGUUAAGUUAAUGUGAGGUUAAUGUUCUUGUGAGUCUGGUGGUUAGGUUAAUGUUCUUGUGAGUCUGGUGGUUAAUGUUCUUGUGAGUCUGGUGGUUAAUGUUCUUGUGAGUCUGGUGGUUAGGUUAAUGUUCUUAUGAGUGAUGGUUAAGUUAAUGUGAGGUUAAUGUUCUUGUGAGUCUGGUGGUUAGGUUAAUGUUCUUGUGAGUCUGGUGGUUAAGGUAAUGUGAGGUUAAUGUUCUUGUGAGUGGUGGUUAAGGUAAUGUGAGGUUAAUGUUCUUGUGAUUGGUGGUUAAGUUAGGUGUAGUUAAUAUUGAGGUGUGUGUAGGUUAAUGAGCUGUGUAGUGUGGUAAUGGGUUAAAUAAUUAAACGGUGUUAAAUUUGUUGCAGAGUAGUACAAGAAUGUAUCACCUGAAGAUUAGACACCCCAGCAUAUUAAUGUUAACCUAACGUAACGUAACACCGACCUAAUCUGACCCACCAGGUAGUGUUAAGGUGAGUUGGUGUAGGUAAUUAUCGGGGAGUGUAAGGAAAGUGGUUAAAGGAAUUACACCGUUAUGUCCUGGGUUCAUUCCUCAGUUUGGGACAAGUGAGAAGGAUGUUAGUGUGACCUUCAUUACUAAACAUGGCAGGUUAUCUCCAGGUACUGCAGUUUCCUCCUGUGUUAACACUGGACCUUAGAGGAGGAGAGCAUUUUCAUUGAUGCUAAAACAGUAUAGUCUACCCUCCUCUUUAGACGUUUUCUUUGGUAAGUUCGUCAUUCUACCAUCAGGUAGCGCCACGGUCUCACCUUGACAACUCUGUAGAAACAAAGGUUAUCAGGGAGAGUUAUAUUGUCUUAUUAUAUAUUCCUUGGUUUGGGUGUAUAGUUGACACCUCCAUUACAGUCAACGUUACAGAUUAUGGUGACGCUUAUGGCUGACCUAUUAGAUAAUUCACGAUAAUAUAUAUUAUAAUAGAGCUUUGUUACUAUAUAUGCUGUACCAUUAGAAAUAAAAAAUAUUACAUAUACAAAAUAGAACCAACGAACAA
rnacentral:lncRNA from 1 species